rnacentral:tRNA from 1 species
UCCCUGGUGGCUCAGAAGGUAAAGCGUCUGUCUACAAUGCAGGAGACCAGGGUUCAAUCCCUGGGUUGGGAA